AAGAUGUCCUGCCAGCAGAACCAGCAGCAGUGCCAGCCCCCUCCCAAGUGCCCCCCCAAGUGCCCUGUCCCUAAGUGCCCCCCCAAGUGCCCCCCCAAGUGCCCUCCAGUCUCUUCCUGCUGCAGUGUGAGCUCUGGGGGCUGCUGUGGCUCCAGCUGUGGGGGAGGGGGCUGCUGCAGCUCUGGGCAUGGGGGCUGCUGCCUGAGCCACCACAGGCGCCGCAGGUCCCACCGCAGACACCAGAGCUCUGACUGCUGCAGCCAGCCCUCGGGGGCUCUGGGUGCUGCGGAGGGGGAAGCGGCCAGUCCUCUGGAGGCGACUGCUGCUGUUGAAGUGAACCCUGAACCAAGAAGAGCUGACCUGGGGGCAGCAAAUGGCCAGAAAUCUCCUCCUCCUGCUCCUCUUGGGCUUGCCUGAGGGUCUGAAAAUCCAGGGAAGGUUCUGCGCUCUGGGCUGGAGUGUCCCUCUGCCUGGAGAUUCAGAAGCCUGAAUCAGCUCUCAAGAAUCUAUGUGCUGACCUCUGACACCAACUGUGUCGUCUGCCUGGAAUACCCAAACCACAGACUCGAACUCCCUCCCCAGCUAAUCCCCUUGUAGACUGCAGCCUCGAAUGAAACAAUAAAACAAGAAAUCGGCUCA